GGUCCAAUAGUGUAGAGGUUAUCACAUGGGAUUCUGAUAAAUAUUUCCCAUGACCCAGGUUCGAGUCCUGGUUGGACCU
rnacentral:tRNA from 1 species